GCUCAGGAUGAACGCUAGCGGCAGGCUUAACACAUGCAAGUCGAGGGGUAACGAUUCUGAGUAAUCGGAAGGCGACGACCGGCGCACGGGUGAGUAUCGCGUUGCAACCUACCUCUGACUGGAGCAUAGCCCGAAGAAAUCGGAUUAUACUCCAUAAUACUGCGAGAAGGAUCUUUUUUCAGUUAAAGCUUCGGCGGUCAGAGAUGGGAUGGUAAAUUAGUAGUGGUGAGUAAUGUCACAAGGUACGCAUGUUAGGGGUCUGAAGAUGGUCCCCACAUGGUACUGAGACACGGACAGAUCCUACGGGAGGCAGCAGUGAGGAAUAUUGGUCAAUGGGCGAAAGCCUGAACCAGCCAUGCCGCGUGAAGGAUGACGGCCCUAUGGGUUGUAAACUUCUUUUAUACGGGAAGAAACCUCUCUACGUGUAGAGGGUUGACGGUACCGUACGAAUAAGCAUCGGCUAACUCCGUGCCAGCAGCCGCGGUAAUACGGAGGAUGCAAGCGUUAUCCGGAUUCAUUGGGUUUAAAGGGUGCGCAGGCGGAGAAUUAAGUCAGUGGUGAAAUCCUGCAGCUUAACUGUAGAAUUGUCAUUGAUACUGGUUUUCUUGAAUGCAGUUGAGGUAGGCGGAAUGUGUAAUGUAGCGGUGAAAUGCUUAGAUAUUACCCAGAACACCGAUUGCGAAGGCAGCUUACUAAACUGUGAUUGACGCUGAGGCACGAAAGCGUGGGGAGCGAACAGGAUUAGAUACCCUGGUAGUCCACGCUGUAAACUAUGAUCACUCGUUGUUGGCAAUACAUCGUCAGCGACUGAGCGAAAGCAUUAAGUGAUCCACCUGGGGAGUACGAUCGCAAGAUUGAAACUCAAAGGAAUUGACGGGGGCCCGCACAAGCGGAGGAACAUGUGGUUUAAUUCGAUGAUACGCGAGGAACCUUACCUGGGCUUAAAUGCAUAACGACGGACCGGGAAACUGGUCUUUCUUCGGACGGCAUGCAAGGUGCUGCAUGGCUGUCGUCAGCUCGUGCCGUGAGGUGUCGGGUUAAGUCCCAUAACGAGCGCAACCCUUAUCAUUAGUUGCCAGCGGGUAAUGCCGGGGACUCUAAUGAAACUGCCGGUGUAAACCGAGAGGAAGGUGGGGAUGACGUCAAGUCAGCACGGCCCUUAUGUCCAGGGCUACACACGUGUUACAAUGGUCAGUACAGAGGGAAGCUACCAGGCGACUGGAUGCUAAUCUCAAAAACUGGUCUCAGUUCGGAUCGGAGUCUGCAACUCGACUUCGUGAAGUUGGAUUCGCUAGUAAUCGCGCAUCAGCCAUGGCGCGGUGAAUACGUUCCCGGGCCUUGUACACACCGCCCGUCAAGCCAUGGAAG
rnacentral:rRNA from 1 species